AGAGUUUGAUCCUGGCUCAGGAUGAACGCUAGCGGCAGGCUUAAUACAUGCAAGUCGAGGGGCAGCACAGUAUAGCAAUAUAUGGGUGGCGACCGGCAAACGGGUGCGUAACACGUACGCAACUUACCCUUUACUGGGAGAUAGCCCAGGGAAACUUGGAUUAAUAUCCCAUAUUACAAGGAUUCGGCAUCGGAUUUUUGUCAAAGUUCCGACGGUAAAGGAUGGGCGUGCGGUUGAUUAGGUAGUUGGCGGGGUAACGGCCCACCAAGCCUACGAUCAAUAGCUGAUGUGAGAGCAUGAUCAGCCACACGGGCACUGAGACACGGGCCCGACUCCUACGGGAGGCAGCAGUAAGGAAUAUUGGGCAAUGGACGCAAGUCUGACCCAGCCAUGCCGCGUGAAGGAUGAAGGCCCUCUGGGUUGUAAACUUCUUUUAUCUGGGGCGAAAGGCGGUUAUUCUUAGCCGUU
rnacentral:rRNA from 1 species